rnacentral:rRNA from 1 species
GUGAGGAAUAUUGGACAAUGGGCGAAAGCCUGAUCCAACCAUGCCGCGUGAACGAUGAAGGCCUUCGGGUUGUAAAGUUCUUUAGCCGAUGAUUAUAAUGACUGUAGUCGGAAAAUAAGCCCCGGCUAACUUCGUGCCAGCAGCCGCGGUAAUACGAAGGGGGCGAGCGUUAUUCGGAAUCACUGGGCGUAAAGCGUGCGUAGGCGGUUUUGUAAGUUAGGAGUGAAAGCCCAGGGCUCAACCUUGGAAUAGCUCUUAAAACUGCAAGGCUCGAAUCUCGGAGAGGAUAGCGGAAUUUCCAGUGUAGCAGUGAAAUGCGUAGAUAUUGGAAGGAACACCAGUGGCGUAAGCGGCUAUCUGGACGAGUAUUGACGCUGAGGCACGAAAGCGUGGGGAUCAAACAGGAUUAGAUACCCGAGUAGUCC